AAUAGAAUUCAUAUUUUCCCAAGAUAUAUCAUAGGGAUCUGUCAAUCUUUCCAAUAAUACUAACAUUAUUUGUCAACUCAUUUUGUUCAUACAAACCGACCUUCAAUUAUUUAAUAUUCGUCCUUGUUAUCAAAAUUAAUGUUUGAAAUUUGUAGAGUUACUAUAUAUAUACACGCAUCCAUCGAUAUCUAAGUCAUCGAUACAGAGCACAUAGUAUCAAUUGUAUAGAAAAAGAAAACUCAUUCAUUCAACCAUGGCCAAGACCACCAAUCUGUUGCUUUGCUUCUUUUUAUUUGUCUUGAUUGCUAUGCCGACCUCUUCUGCUACCAGGAUGAUGCUUCAGGAGGAUGUAAGUGGGUGCCCAAGAAGAGUUAAGUCAUGCGCAAGAGUUGCGUGCAACCCACGAAUUUUUUGCCCCCUAUUUGUGAUUAACUGCCCAGAUGGUCAGUACGCUUACAAGCCGUGCUGUAGCUGCAGCCAAACAUGUUGUCCAAUCAGAAAGUACUGAUUCUACUGCGUUUCGUACAUUGCAUUGUGACAUUUAUGUAUCUUUUCUAAUUGUUGUUUGUGAACGAAUCGUAGUGUUUACUUUUCUCCUCUGAAUAAUUUGAAGUGGUUUACCAUACCAUAGUUUUAUGUAUCUCCAUUUUUCUGUCUUCGCUACCAUAAUUUCGAGUACCGUGAGGUCUUUCGACUUAUGUUUUGUUAAAUUGCAUCUGAUAACAGGUAAUUUCAUGUUUGAUUGACAUGCGAUAA